rnacentral:rRNA from 1 species
AUGAAUGUGUUAAGCUGGAACUGCCGGGGAGGGGGGAACACCCGGACAGUUCGUGAGAUAGCGACGCUUGUGAAGUCGCAUUCCCCCAGUCUGGUGUUUCUGUGUGAAACUAGGCAAAAGGAAGAGAGGAUGAAGAGAUUAAGAGGCCGGCUUGGCCUGAAAGGUCUUGAGUGCGUGGACUGUAAUGGACUAAGUGGUGGUCUUGCAUUAUUUUGGCAUGAA